rnacentral:antisense_RNA from 1 species
UGUGGGAGCUGGCUUGCCUGCGAUGCAGGCGACUCGGUAUGCCUGCCAGACCGAGGAGAGGCCAUCGCAGGCAAGCCAGCUCCCACA